GUGGAUUAGAUACCCUAGUAGUCCUGGCCCUAAACGAUGUCAACUAGAUCGUGGUGCUUUGACGGCUUCACGGUCGAAGCAAAAGUGCUAAGUUGACCGCCUGGGAAGUACGGUCGCAAGGCUAAAACUCAAAGGAAUUGACGGGGGCUCACACAAGCGGUGGAGCAUGUGGUUCAAUUCGAAGCAACGCGCAGAACCUUACCUGGGCUUGACAUGCUUGGAUUAUCCCGAUGAAAGUCGGGUAGGCCCGCAAGGGUACAACAAGUACAGGUGCUGCACGGCUGUCGUCAACU
rnacentral:rRNA from 1 species